UGCCUAAGAAAUGCAAGUCGAGAGGGGAUAGCAAUAUCCUAGCGGCGAACGGUCGCGUAACACGUAAGCAACCUGCCGGAAAGACCGGGACAACAUCUCGAAAGGGGUGCUAAUACCGGAUGUGGCCACUGGGAGGCAUCUCCUGGUGAUUAAACCGAGCAAUCGGCUUUCUGAGGGGCUUGCGGCCUAUCAGCUAGUUGGUGGGGUAACGGCCUACCAAGGCGACGACGGGUAGCUGGUCUGAGAGGACGAUCAGCCGGACUGGGACUGAGAUACGGCCCAGACUCCUACGGGGGGCAGCAAUUAGGAAUCUUGCGCAAUGGGCGAAAGCCUGACGCAGCGACGCCGCGUGGAGGACGUUUCCUUCGGGAUGUAAACUCC
rnacentral:rRNA from 1 species